rnacentral:rRNA from 1 species
UACAGAGGGUGCGAACGUUGCUCGGAAUUACUGGGCGUAAAGCGCACGUAGGUGGCUUGGCAAGUCGGGUGUGAAAUCCCCGGGCUCAACCUGGGAAUUACAUUCGAUACUGGAUAGCUAGAGUUCGGCAGAGGGAAGCGGAAUUUCGGGUGUAGCGGUGAAAUGCGUAGAUAUCCGAAGGAACAUCAGUGGCGAAAGCGGCUUCCUGGACCAGAACUGACGAUCAGGCACGAAAGCGUGGGGAGCAAACAGGG